UUUUUUUUAAAAUUUUUUUUUUGGAGGUGGACAAUGAAUACUUGUCUUCUAUUGUUUUCCUAUAUAGAACUUCACUAGUUUCUGAAAAUUCAAUUAAAAGAAUGCGUAUGUUCUCCUUCCCCCUCUCCUGCCACCACCCACAUUUCCACCGCCUAUGUGCAUAUUACUAAUUAGCUCCGAAACCCCUUUAUUUUUCGUGAUAAUUAUUGGUACCAACAUGGUUGCUACCAUUGCUAUCACUAUUACUACCAACAGCACCACCAUUGAUUAUGCCAUCACCAGCGCUGACAUCGGUACCAUUUAUUCUACAAAAAAUUAAGAAAAGAUAAUAAAGAGGAAGACUGCAAAAUUGCAUGACCUGCUUCUGGUUAUUAAUUUUGAGUAAUUUGUUGUCAACUUUAUGUGAAUACUGAUCAUUUAAUUAUUCAUUUCAUGUAGGAUUUAAUGAUAACUGGUUGUCAUAGCCCUGAGAGAAACGUAGGAUUUGGAUUAACACUUCUAGGCAUCUAAAGGAAAAAAAAAUUAAGAAAUGGUAGGCAGAAGGAAAAUGGUAAUUGCUUAUAGUUUUUAUUGAGUAAAAAAGUGCAUCUUAUACAUAUAUAUUCUGUCUUAGCUUGUUGGUAAGUUGUCAUCGUUACAAAAGUUGGAUUGUGGGUUCCAUCCAAGAUCUCUCUCUGAUGGUUUUUCGUAGUAGAUUGAUACCAUUUUUGUGCAUAAUGCAGUAUUCGACACAUUACAGCUGAG
rnacentral:misc_RNA from 1 species